AUUGAACGCUGGCGGCAUGCCUUACACAUGCAAGUCGAACGGUGACAGGUCUUCGGAUGCUGACGAGUGGCGAACGGGUGAGUAAUACAUCGGAACGUGCCCGAGAGUGGGGGAUAACGAGGCGAAAGCUUUGCUAAUACCGCAUACGAUCUAAGGAUGAAAGCGGGGGAUCGCAAGACCUCGCGCGAUUGGAGCGGCCGAUAUCAGCUUAGCUAGUUGGUGGGGUAAAGGCCCACCAAGGCGACGAUCUGUAGCUGGUCUGAGAGGACGACCAGCCACACUGGAACCGAGACACGGUCCAGACUCCUACGGGAGGCAGCAGUGGGGAAUUUUGGACAAUGGGCGCAAGCCUGAUCCAGCAAUGCCGCGUGCAGGAUGAAGGCCUUCGGGUUGUAAAGCUCUUUUGUCAGGGAAGAAACACCGGCUCUAACACAGUCCGGGAAUGACGGUACCUGAAGAAUAAGCACCGGCUAACUACGUGCCAGCCGCCGCAGUAAGAC
rnacentral:rRNA from 1 species